GACGAACGCUGGCGGCGUGCUUAACACAUGCAAGUCGAACGGAAAGGCCCUGCUUUUGUGGGGUGCUCGAGUGGCGAACGGGUGAGUAACACGUGAGUAACCUGCCCUUGACUUUGGGAUAACUUCAGGAAACUGGGGCUAAUACCGGAUAGGAGCUCCUGCUGCAUGGUGGGGGUUGGAAAGUUUCGGCGGUUGGGGAUGGACUCGCGGCUUAUCAGCUUGUUGGUGGGGUAGUGGCUUACCAAGGCUUUGACGGGUAGCCGGCCUGAGAGGGUGACCGGCCACAUUGGGACUGAGAUACGUCCCAGACUCCUACGGGAGGCAGCAGUGGGGAAUAUUGCACAAUGGGCGGAAGCCUGAUGCAGCAACGCCGCGUGCGGGAUGACGGCCUUCGGGUUGUAAACCGCUUUCGCCUGUGACGAAGCGUGAGUGACGGUAAUGGGUAAAGAAGCACCGGCUAACUACGUG
rnacentral:rRNA from 1 species